UGCACAGUUAGAACAGACGCGCCGCUCACUAUCCGGCACCAGAACAUUUCCACGCUGCCUUUCCCCCGCCCCACAGAACGCAGCCCUGGCUCGCUGAGCGAUCUACCUUCCCAUUGGCCACACUGGGUGACGUGUUGCUGCCGAACCUCCCUAAUAAACAGCUCAUUGGGCCAUGGUGGCUGCUGGUUCGUGAGUGGCUGCGCUAAUGGCCAAUCAGCGCUAUCCUGGGGGUGGGUGGGUGUGACUGACCGUGCGGCGCCGGUUGUUCGAACCUGAGCGCUGGGGAAGGGAGCGGGGACCCGGCAGCCCCGGGCGCUCCGGUGAGUGUGGGGCGGGGCGAGGAGUCGGGCACCGCCUCCACCUCAGCAGAAGCAGUAAGCGGAGUUGACAGGGGAGCCGUGGCGGGCGAUUUGCAGCCGUGAGGACAGCUAGGAAAUGGAGGAAAAAAACCUUCUUCGCUGCCAGUCUGAUCAAAAAUCUCAAGAAAUCCAUCAGCUGCAAGAAGAACUGAAAACAGCUAAACAGUUUCUGAAGGAGACCCAGAAUUAUGCGGAAGAGAUGAAAACCUGGAAGCCUCUUUCAACCAGGAA